AACCUUUGCUUCAUGACCUUCACCCAAAAAUACUCCAUUUGUGAACAGUUUGGCAAUUUUAGAUGCUUGAGCUUGUGGGCGAUAAGUUUGGUGAAAGGUUGCCAUGUUGAUAAAUAAGGCUCUUGCUUGUUGCUCCAAGAAAAAGAUUGAGUGAUUUCUCCAAUGUGAACCACAGCUACUGGAAUCACGACUAUUUAUAUGUUCGAAGAAGUCUCUAAUAAUGAUAUCCUCCAAAGAAUUGACACGUUAUUUACAGGCGUUGGAUUGAAUUUUUUUCCUUCAUACAAA